UACGUAGGGGGCAAGCGUUGUCCGGAUUUAUUGGGCGUAAAGAGCGUGUAGGCGGCUUGGUAGGUCCGCUGUGAAAGUCCGGGGCUCAACUCCGGAUCUGCGGUGGGUACGGGCAGACUAGAGUGAUGUAGGGGAGACUGGAAUUCCUGGUGUAGCGGUGAAAUGCGCAGAUAUCAGGAGGAACACCGAUGGCGAAGGCAGGUCUCUGGGCAUUAACUGACGCUGAGGAGCGAAAGCAUGGGGAGCGAACAGG
rnacentral:rRNA from 1 species